rnacentral:rRNA from 1 species
UACGGGGGGGGCAAGCGUUGUUCGGAAUUACUGGGCGUAAAGGGCUCGUAGGCGGCCAACUAAGUCGAACGUGAAAUCCCUCGGCUUAACCGGGGAACUGCGUCUGAUACUGGAUGGCUUGAGUUUGGGAGAGGGAUGCGGAAUUCCAGGUGUAGCGGUGAAAUGCGUAGAUAUCUGGAGGAACACCGGUGGCGAAGGCGGCAUCCUGGACCAACACUGACGCUGAGGAGCGAAAGCCAGGGGAGCAAACGGG